GAUGGGGAUGCGUCUGAUUAGCUUGUUGGCGGGGUAACGGCCCACCAAGGCAACGAUCAGUAGGGGUUCUGAGAGGAAGGUCCCCCACAUUGGAACUGAGACACGGUCCAAACUCCUACGGGAGGCAGCAGUGAGGAAUAUUGGUCAAUGGACGGAAGUCUGAACCAGCCAAGUAGCGUGCAGGAAGACGGCCCUAUGGGUUGUAAACUGCUUUUAUGUGGGAAUAAAGUCAGGGACGUGUCCCUGUUUGCAUGUACCACAGGAAUAAGGACCGGCUAAUUCCGUGCCAGCAGCCGCGGUAAUACGGAAGGUCCGGGCGUUAUCCGGAUUUAUUGGGUUUAAAGGGAGCGUAGGCCGGAGGGUAAGCGUGUUGUGAAAUGCAGUUGCCCAACAUCUGCACUGCAGCGCGAACUGUUCUCCUUGAGUGCGCAGGAAGUAGGCGGAAUUCGUCGUGUAGCGGUGAAAUGCUUAGAUAUGACGAAGAACUCCGAUUGGGAAGCCAGCUUACUGUAGCGCCACUGACGCUGAUGCUCGAAAGUGCGGGUAUCGAACAGGAUUAGAUACCCUGGUAGUCCGCACGGUAAACGAUGGAUGCUCGCUGUGUGCAUUCGUGUACGCGGCCAAGGGAAACCAUUAAGCAUCCCACCUGGGGAGUAC
rnacentral:rRNA from 1 species